AGUGAACGCUAGCGGUAGGCCUAACACAUGCAAGUCGAACGGCAGCACAGUAAGAGCUUGCUCUUACGGGUGGCGAGUGGCGGACGGGUGAGGAAUACAUCGGAAUCUACUUUUUCGUGGGGGAUAACGUAGGGAAACUUACGCUAAUACCGCAUACGACCUACGGGUGAAAGCAGGGGAUCUUCGGACCUUGCGCGAUUGAAUGAGCCGAUGUCGGAUUAGCUAGUUGGCGGGGUAAAGGCCCACCAAGGCGACGAUCCGUAGCUGGUCUGAGAGGAUGAUCAGCCACACUGGAACUGAGACACGGUCCAGACUCCUACGGGAGGCAGCAGUGGGGAAUAUUGGACAAAGGGCGCAAGCCUGAUCCAGCCAUACCGCGUGGGUGAAGAAGGCCUUCGGGCUGUAAAGCCCUUUUGUUAGGAAAGAAAAGCAGCAGGUUAAUACCCCGCUGUUCUGACGGUACCCAAAGAAUAAGCACCGGCUAACUUCGUG
rnacentral:rRNA from 1 species